UAUUCAGUCUAGAUUAUAUUACAAAGGUUAGCUCGUUAUUUCUACGACUUCUCAUUGGAUUCAAAAGUUGUUACAGGAAUUCCAUGCCACCCCAACCAGGUGUCAUUUGGGAGCUUACCGUACUUACUACCGUCUAGCUAGCAAUCUUUAUUGGAAAGGUAUGAUGCGAACUGUGCAAAAUUUUGUGGAUGAGUGUUUGGUUUGCUAAUGCCAUAAAGACCAAAUAUUGCAUCCUAUUCACCCUCUUCCCAUACCUUUAGCUAUUUGGGAAGACAUCUCCAUAGACUUUAUCACUGGAUUGCCAAAGUCUUUUGGUGUGGAUUGUAUCCUGGUGGUCACAAAUAGACUUUAGAAAUAUAGGCAUUUUUUGGCCCUUCGGCACCCUUUUACUACCAAAACUGUAGCUGAUCUCUUCAUAAAGGAAGUUCUUCGACUCCACGAUAUGCCUCAGUCCAUAGUCAGUGACCGUGACCCUUUUUUCCUCAGCACUUUUUGGCAGGAGUUCUUUUGCCUUUGAGGUACUUCUCUUAAAUUCAGUACAACUUACCAAAUUGAAACAGAUGGCAAACGAAAGUGCUCAAUCGCAGUUUGGAAACGUGUAUGCGCUGUUUUGCUUCAGAACAACCCUAACAGUGGAGUAAAUGGCUACAUUGGGCCUAGUUUUUGUAUAACACUAGUUACUACACUGCAGCAAAGUUCACCCCUUUCAAAAUUGUAUAUGGGCACCCACCCCCUUCCCUUAUUCAAUUUAUGCCUGGUGAAACUAAAGUGGAUGCUCUUGCUUAGCAUUUGUAGGAGCGAGACAAAAUUCUUUGGCAAUUGAAGUACAAACUCACAAAGGUUUAGUAGCGAAUAGUGCACGCUACUAAUAAACACCACCAAGAUAUUACUUUUGUUGCUGGUGACUUGGUGUUUUUAAAAUUUCGACCACACCUACAAGUUUAAUUAUAGUAGUAGAUUAAUCCCAAAUUGGUACAACGUUAUUUCGGCCAUUUCUACAUCCUCAAAAAGGUUGGCCCUAUUGCUUAUCACCUUAAUUUACCACCUGAAUCUUGGGUGCACCUUGCUUUCGAUAUGUCUCAACUAAAGAAAUUGGUUGGCACUCAUCCUAUUACUAUUGCUACCUUACCUCGGGACAUGGCUAUUGAGGAAGACUGGGUUGGACCUAAGGAGGUUUAAUGACAUAGAACGGUUAUGAUUGGUGACCACCAAUGUCCCAAGUUCUUAGUCAAUGGAAGGGAAAAUUCCUUGAAGAGGCUACUUGGAUAGACAGUGUUGACAUCUACAACCAGUUCCCUGGCUUCCGCCUUAAAGACAAGGCUAAUAUUCAACAGGGCGGCAAUGAUAUGGACACAAGCCAGCAAGUAGGUCUAGGAAUGCUAAGGGUAUACACCAGGCGUAAGAAGACUCCAGAAGAUGGUAUUGGAAUGGAGAAUUCCAGAAAGAAAGUUUUGCAGGGAAGAAUGAGCGGGUAAUUGUGCAUAGAAUUGAGCUGUUGUCGGUAGGGAGAAGUCAAUAAAUAGGAUGAGAAUAAUAUGUAAAUGAUCAGCCAAAUUUUUGUUUUAGUCUUGUGAGGGGGCCAAUGGACGAAUUCCUUGGUUUGUAAUAGCCUUUGGGCUGUUUGCCAGUUAAGUCUUGAGACUUGAUUGUAAUUUCGCUAUUCACUAAUUCCAGUUAAUUCAUCCUUCCUCCGUUUUCUCGUGCUCUCAAAUUCUAAUCUCUAUCACAGUAUGCUCAUGACAAUGACACGCCAAUCAGGGGAUUAAGCCUUCCUCCUCUUCUAUACAAGUCAUUUCUAUUCACCGUGUUAAAAAUUGCAGACCGAACAAAAACAUUAACCUCUAGAGGUGGCUUAGUUUUCCAAACUUUUGUUAGCUGAAAAGAAAAGAGUGGUCAUGAUAGGAGUUAACAAGAUGGGCAUCCUUUUGGGUGUAAUAAUGUAUACAUUACUUGGGCUUGGAUAUGAGCAUCUUUUUCCUUGUUGAUCCAAUUAAUUAUAGUAUUGGAUCGUAAGAUUCCCAAUAAAUUG
rnacentral:misc_RNA from 1 species